CGGUGGGACACCCCUCCCCAACGAGGGGCGCAUAUCUGUAAGGAUACCACCG
rfam:Defluviimonas sp. 20V17 contig10, whole genome shotgun sequence.